CACAAAACAGCCUGUAGUUGAUACACAGUGAUGGCAGCUUUAAUCAUAGUUGCCCAUACUGAAAAUGCCCAAAUACCCUGCCAUGGGUGAACGGAUAAACAAAUGGCUCCAUCCAUACAAUGGAAUGCUACUCGGUGCAAAAAAGCACUCUACACAGGCAAUAUGGAUGACUCCAAUGCAUCAUGUUCAGUAAAAGCAGCCACGUGCAAACAGCUGCACACUAUUUCUGGAAAUGGUGAGGUGAUGGAUAGAGGAUAGAAAACAAACCAGUGGUUUCCACGGACUGGGGUUGAGGAGGGGUUAACCACAAGAGAGCACAAAGGAAUUCUGGGUGGUGGUGAAGAUGUUCAAUGUCUGGAAUGUGGUAGUGGCACAAUUGUAUGUUUUUGUCAAAGCCCAAAGAACUAUACACUAAAAAGAGUAAAUUUUAUUGUUUAUAAAUUAUGCUUCAAUAAACCUGCCUUUAAAAAAUUUUUUAUCAGUAAUUACAAUUUUCAAAAGUGGAGAUACUUGGUAGGCCCCUGCUUUCUUGGCCCCUAAGGUCCCUCUCUCUGUUAAACUGUAGAGCUCCUUAGAACCAAAACCAAACCACCUUUCAUUUUAAUGAAAAUGAAAUGCAAAAACUGGGGCUCCAAGCAAGGAAGAAACGUCUACCUGCAGUUCAUCUGGGGGUUGGUGGGAGAGGUGGUGGAGAGAGUAAGGCUAAGCGCCCCCAGCAGGAAACAAAGGAUAAGACUGGAAGGAUGUCAGGUAGGGUAGACCCAGAGCACCAGCUGGGCUC
rnacentral:lncRNA from 1 species